rnacentral:rRNA from 1 species
CUAACACAUGCAAGUCGAACGAGAAAGUGGAGCAAUCCAUGAGUAAAGUGGCGACCGGGUGAGUAACACGUGACUAACCUGCCCUUGAGUGGGGGAUAACCUCGGGAAACCGAGGCUAAUACCGCAUAACAUCGCAAGAUCAAAGGAGCAAUCCGCUUUUGGAGGGGGUCGCGGCUGAUUAGCUAGUUGGUAGGGUAAUGGCCUACCAAGGCGAAGAUCGGUAUCCGGCCUGAGGGGGCGCACGGACACACUGGAACUGAAACACGGUCCAGACUCCUACGGGAGGCAGCAGUGGGGAAUUUUGCGCAAUGGGGGAAACCCUGACGCAGCAACGCCGCGUGGAGGAUGAAGCCCCUUGGGGCGUAAACUCCUUUCGACUGGGAAGAUUAUGACGGUACCAGUGGAAGAAGCACCGGCUAACUCUGUGCCAGCAGCCGCGGUAAU